rnacentral:rRNA from 1 species
AUUGAACGCUGGCGGCAGGCCUAACACAUGCAAGUCGAACGGUAACAGGGAUCAGCUUGCUGAUUCGCUGACGAGUGGCGGACGGGUGAGUAAUGUCUGGGAAACUGCCUGAUGGAGGGGGAUAACUACUGGAAACGGUAGCUAAUACCGCAUAACGUCGCAAGACCAAAGAGGGGGACCUUCGGGCCUCUUGCCAUCGGAUGUGCCCAGAUGGGAUUAGCUAGUAGGUGGGGUAACGGCUCACCUAGGCGACGAUCCCUAGCUGGUCUGAGAGGAUGACCAGCCACACUGGAACUGAGACACGGUCCAGACUCCUACGGGAGGCAGCAGUGGGGAAUAUUGCACAAUGGGCGAAAGCCUGAUGCAGCCAUGCCGCGUGUAUGAAGAAGGCCUUCGGGUUGUAAAGUACUUUCAGCGGGGAGGAAGGGAGUAAAGUUAAUACCUUUGCUCAUUGACGUUACCCGAAGAAGAAGCACCGGCUAACUCCGUG